AGAAAACUGCACAGAGAUAACUUGCAGCUGCCUUGGCCUGCUGCCCUAGCCCACUCCCAUCAGUCCCAGCCAGUACCAACCUGCUACAAUUUCUGCAGUUAUCUAAUUGAAGCUUCAACCAGCCCCCUCUGGAGCCAAGACAAGUCAACCUCCUGCACUUAAAAGGUAUGGAAACGGGGAGGUGGCCUACAUAUUUAUGUUGUGACGUGUAUACCAUAGCAUGCAAACAGAAAUUGUACACAAAAAAACAACCUUUACACACAAG